AGAGAGAGACAUGCGCGCAUAUCAAUAAGCGGAGGAAAAGAAACUAACAAGGAUUCCCCUAGUAACGGCGAGUGAAGCGGGAAGAGCUCGAAUUUGAAAUCUUAAAGGGUUUCCCUUUACGAAUUGUAGUUUAAAGAAGUGUUUUCUGUUGAGGUUUUGGUAAAAGUUCUUUGGAAUAGGACAUCAUAGAGGGUGAGAAUCCCGUAUUUGACCUUUACUUUCAACUUUGUGAUACACUUUCAAAGAGUCGGAUUGUUUGGGAAUGCAGUCCAAAAUGGGUGGUAAAUUUCAUCUAAAGCUAAAUAUUGGCGAGAGACCGAUAGCGAACAAGUACCGUGAGGGAAAGAUGAAAAGAACUUUGAAAAGAGAGUUAAACAGUACGUGAAAUUGUCAAAAGGGAAGCGUUUGACACCAGUGUUGUUUUUCUGAAAAUCAAUUAAAGAACUGUUUAUGCUAAGCUGUUUAGACUUUAUCAGCUAUCUGUUUAGUUUUGAGCUUUUCUUUAAUGCACUUUUCAGUUAACAAGUCAACAUCAAUUUCUUUUGCUGUAAAAAAGCUUGAGGAAGGUGGCUUGAGAUUCGUCUUAAGUGUUUAUAGCCUCUUGCCUAUGCAGUCGGAGAGAUUGAGGUCUGCAGCGUAGAUCCUUCGGGGCUAAAUGCAUUUGUGCUAAGUUAUAGCAUUUUAUAGACAACUUGUUGACUAUGAUUUGUCUUGUAGGCUUACUCGCUUAUGUUAUUUUACCUACGCUUAGGAUGUUGAGCGCAUGUCUCUCUCU
rnacentral:rRNA from 1 species